rnacentral:rRNA from 1 species
CCUACGGGAGGCAGCAGUGAGGAAUUUUCCGCAAUGGGCGAAAGCCUGACGGAGCAAUACCGCGUGAGGGAUGAAGGAUUUUGGUCUGUAAACCUCUUUUCUCAAGAAAGAAGUUCUGACGGUACUUGAGGAAUAAGCAUCGGUUAACUCCGUGCCAGCAGCCGCGGUAAUACGGGGGAUGCAAGCGUUAUCCGGAAUGAUUGGGCGUAAAGCGCCUGUAGGUUGUUUAUUAAGUCCGUUGUUAAAGCCUAGGGCUCAACCCUAGAAAAGCAAUGGAAACUAGUAGACUAGAGUAUGGCAGGGGUAGAGGGAAUUUCUAGUGUAGCGGUGAAAUGCGUAGAUAUUAGAAAGACACCGGUGGCGAAAGCGCUCUACUGGACCAUUACUGACACUCAGAGGCGAAAGCUAGGGUAGCAAAAGGGGAUUAGAUACCCCUGUAGUCCUAGCCGUAAACGAUGGAUACUAGAUGUUGUGCAUUAUGUACCAGUAUCGUAGCUAACGCGUUAAGUAUCCGCCUGGGAGUACGCUCGCAAGGUGAACUCAAANAGAGUAGAGCGNGAGAAGUGCGAGACGACGACGAGGAGAGG